rnacentral:rRNA from 1 species
GGUUAAGUUAGAAAGGGCGCACGGUGGAUGCCUUGGCACUAGGAGCCGAAGAAGGACGGGACUAACACCGAUAUGCUUUGGGGAGCUGUACGUAAGCGUUGAUCCAGAGAUUUCCGAAUGGGGGAACCCACUAUCUUUAGUCGGAUAGUAUCCUUACGUGAAUACAUAGCGUGAGGAAGGCAGACCCAGGGAACUGAAACAUCUAAGUACCUGGAGGAAGAGAAAGAAAAAUCGAUUUCCUGAGUAGCGGCGAGCGAAACGGAAAGAGCCCAAACCAAGAAGCUUGCUUCUUGGGGUUGUAGGACACUCUAU